rnacentral:antisense_RNA from 2 species
UGUAGGAGCGAGCUUGCUCGCGAAGGUGUGUCAGCUACUCAGAUGUUUCUGACACUCCAUCGCGAGCAAGCUCGCUCCUACA